UUAAAAAAAAAAAUUACAGAUUUUAUCCGCAGAAUUUUAAAUCUGCCACUAGAGUAAUUAUAAAAAAAGAAUUGUAGAUUUUUUUUUUUUGCAAAAUUUCAGAUCGGCUAUUAGUCAAUUAAAAAAAUAAAAAAAUAAAACCAACACCACACACAGAGAGCUCUUUACACCAAAAAUAUCAAAGUACACGAUUAUCACAGUAAAUCCUUCACUCGUAGAAGAAAAAAUUGCUACACUAAUUGCAUACAUGUAAUUUAAUAGAAAGAAAAUGUACACACAGAGGUAGAGGGAGAGGGAGCGAGAAGGAAAGCUUACAGUUGCGAUAAAAGGAAACAUGCACCAUGGCUCUGCUCCAAAGGGGGUCGUUUCUAUGACAGAGCUUUUGGUCUCUCACUAGGCG
rnacentral:misc_RNA from 1 species